GGGGCUAUAGCUCAGUUGGUAGAGCGCUUCAAUGGCAUUGAAGAGGUCAGGAGUUCGAAUCUCCUUAGCUCCACAA
rnacentral:tRNA from 1 species